UGCUCGAGUGGCGAACGGGUGAGUAACACGUGGGUGAUCUGCCCUGCACUUCGGGAUAAGCUUGGGAAACUGGGUCUAAUACCGGAUAGGACCAUCGUUUAGUGUCGGUGGUGGAAAGUUUUUCGGUGUGGGAUGAGCUCGCGGCCUAUCAGCUUGUUGGUGGGGUAAUGGCCUACCAAGGCGUCGACGGGUAGCCGGCCUGAGAGGGUGUACGGCCACAUUGGGACUGAGAUACGGCCCAG
rnacentral:rRNA from 1 species